GAUGAACGCUGGCGGCGUGCCUAAUACAUGCAAGUCGAGCGAACGGGCGAGAAGCUUGCUUCUCUGAUGUUAGCGGCGGACGGGUGAGUAACACGUGGAUAACCUACCUAUAAGACUGGGAUAACUUCGGGAAACCGGAGCUAAUACCGGAUAAUAUUUUGAACCGCAUGGUUCAAAAGUGAAAGACGGUCUUGCUGUCACUUAUAGAUGGAUCCGCGCUGCAUUAGCUAGUUGGUAAGGUAACGGCUUACCAAGGCAACGAUGCAUAGCCGACCUGAGAGGGUGAUCGGCCACACUGGAACUGAGACACGGUCCAGACUCCUACGGGAGGCAGCAGUAGGGAAUCUUCCGCAAUGGGCGAAAGCCUGACGGAGCAACGCCGCGUGAGUGAUGAAGGUCUUCGGAUCGUAAAACUCUGUUAUUAGGGAAGAACAUAUGUGUAAGUAACUGUGCACAUCUUGACGGUACCUAAUCAGAAAGCCACGGCUAACUACGUGCCAGCAGCCGCGGUAAUACGUAGGUGGCAAGCGUUAUCCGGAAUUAUUGGGCGUAAAGCGCGCGUAGCGGUUUUUUAAGUCUGAUGUGAAAGCCCACGGCUCAACCGUGGAGGGUCAUUGGAAACUGGAAAACUUGAGUGCAGAAGAGGAAAGUGGAAUUCCAUGUGUAGCGGUGAAAUGCGCAGAGAUAUGGAGGAACACCAGUGGCGAAGGCGACUUUCUGGUCUGUAACUGACGCUGAUGUGCGAAAGCGUGGGGAUCAAACAGGAUUAGAUACCCUGGUAGUCCACGCCGUAAACGAUGAGUGCUAAGUGUUAGGGGGUUUCCGCCCCUUAGUGCUGCAGCUAACGCAUUAAGCACUCCGCCUGGGGAGUACGACCGCAAGGUUGAAACUCAAAGGAAUUGACGGGGACCCGCACAAGCGGUGGAGCAUGUGGUUUAAUUCGAAGCAACGCGAAGAACCUUACCAAAUCUUGACAUCCUUUGACAACUCUAGAGAUAGAGCUGUCCCCUUCGGGGGACAAAGUGACAGGUGGUGCAUGGUUGUCGUCAGCUCGUGUCGUGAGAUGUUGGGUUAAGUCCCGCAACGAGCGCAACCCUUAAGCUUAGUUGCCAUCAUUAAGUUGGGCACUCUAAGUUGACUGCCGGUGACAAACCGGAGGAAGGUGGGGAUGACGUCAAAUCAUCAUGCCCCUUAUGAUUUGGGCUACACACGUGCUACAAUGGACAAUACAAAGGGCAGCGAAACCGCGAGGUCAAGCAAAUCCCAUAAAGUUGUUCUCAGUUCGGAUUGUAGUCUGCAACUCGACUACAUGAAGCUGGAAUCGCUAGUAAUCGUAGAUCAGCAUGCUACGGUGAAUACGUUCCCGGGUCU
rnacentral:rRNA from 1 species